GCAGUGGUGGCUCAGUGGCAAAAUUCUUACCUUCCAUGCUGGAGACCCGGGUUCGAUUCCUGGCCAGUGCA
rnacentral:tRNA from 1 species